rnacentral:rRNA from 1 species
UACGUAGGGGGCUAGCGUUGUCCGGAAUCAUUGGGCGUAAAGCGCGUGUAGGCGGCCUCGGUAAGUCCGCUGUGAAAGUCGGGGGCUCAACCCUCGGAUGCCGGUGGAUACUGUCGGGCUUGAGUACGGAAGAGGCGAGUGGAAUUCCUGGUGUAGCGGUGAAAUGCGCAGAUAUCAGGAGGAACACCGGUGGCGAAGGCGGCCUGCUGGGCAGUUACUGACACUGAGGCGCGACAGCGUGGGAGC